rnacentral:rRNA from 1 species
UACAGAGGCCCCAAGCGUUACUGAGAAUCACUGGGUUUAAAGGGUGCGUAGGUGGCGCGUAAGUCCGUUGUGAAAUCCCUGGGCUCAACCCAGGAAUUGCUUCGGAUACUGGCGUGCUUGAGGCCGGUAGGGGUCACUGGAACUGACGGUGGAGCGGUGAAAUGCGUAGAUAUCGUCAGGAACGCCGAUGGUGAAGACAGGUGACUGGGCCGGAACUGACACUGAGGCACGGAAAGCGUGGGGAGCGAACGGG